rnacentral:rRNA from 1 species
UGAGCAAUCUGCCCUUCUCAUCGGAAUAAGCGUUGGAAACGACGUCUAAUGCCGAAUACGACCUCCUUUCGCAUGAUCGGAGGUGGAAAGCUCCGGCGGAGAAGGAUGAGCUCGCGGCCUAUCAGCUAGUUGGUGGGGUAAUGGCCUACCAAGGCGUCGACGGGUAGCCGGCCUGAGAGGGCGACCGGCCACACUGGGACUGAGACACGGCCCAGACUCCGUACGGGAGGNAGCG